rnacentral:lncRNA from 1 species
CUCUCAGAAGGCGGGAAAAAGCUGAAUCGUGGCUUUGCAGGCUCUGGCUGAAAAAAAGUAGCGCGUCUGGGUAGUGGCUGGUUACAGUACUGUGAGACUCAGGCGCGUGCCCGCGUCGACAGAAUGCUUUGUUUUCUUUCCUCAGUUUACCUAAACGCAGAUUCCCGGUUGGAAUAUUAUCGCUUUGUUACGAGAAAAAUGGCAUAAAAAUUGAUUUUAAACAGCGGUUGACAUGCUUCGAAGUACGGUAAUGGAAUAUUUAGAAAUCUUUUGUCACGAAUUGCGCCAUGCUCGUAACCCUUAUUUACACUUCGGAUAGUGUCUAGAACGCACGAACAAAACGCCGCUAUUUGGAUAUAACGAUGGAUUAUUUUGGACCAAACCAACAUUUGUUAUUGAAGUAGCAGUCCUGGGAGUGCAUUCUGACGAAGACAACAAAGGUUGCUGUUCUUCACGGCAGUAUAUGCCCAGCAAGCCAGCAAAGUAUGGCAUCAAAUAUGGGUGACCUGUGACGCACAAUCCAGCUACGCUUGUAAGAUGUAAGUCUACACAGGGAAGCCGACCAGUGGAGGUCCGGAGAAGAACCAGGGGAUGCGGGUAGUGCUUGAUGUGACAGAUGGACUGAGGGGGCACAAUGUCACGUGUGACAAUUUCUUCACCUCUCAUGACCUCAGCCAGCAGCUCCUGAAGAGGAAGAUCACCAUGGUUGGCACAGUUAGAAAGAACAAGCCUGAGCUCCCCCUGCACUCCUCACAACAAGGGGGAGAGAGGCCUUCUCAUCAAAGUUGCCUACACCCCGACCACCAUUCUAGUUUCUUACCUCCCAAAGAGGAACAAGAAUGUGGUCCUCCUGAGAAUACUGCAAAAAACGGCUGAGAUCAGUGAUCAUGAGGACAGAAAGCCAGCCAUCAUCCUCGACUACAACCACAACAAAGGAGGUGUGGACAACCUGGACAAGAUGAUUGGAACUUACAGCUGCAGGAGGAUGACUGCCCGCUGGCCCCUGGUCAUCUUCCAUAACAUCAUUGAUGUGUCCUCAUACAAUGCCUUUGUGAUAUGGAGCCCUACCUGGAUGCCUGAUAAGCAGAACAAGAGGAGGGUGUUCCUGGAGCAGCUGGGAAAGGCACUUGUAACAACACACAUUCAAAGAAGUGAGUGCCUCCCCUGCACAGCAGCCUCUGCAGCACUUGUGAAAGCUGUUCAGGGGGCUGAAUCUUGUCCUGAUCCACCUGAGGCUGUAGCUGGGGCAGGCAAGAGGAGGAGAUUCCAAUUCUGCCCCCUAAGAAGGACUGUAAAACAAAUACUAUGUGCUGCACAUGUGAGAAAUACAUCUGCAAAGUCCAUGCACAGCUUGAAUACUGUCCUACAUGUGCUAAUUCAAGUUGCUUGAUUUAUAUUCUUCACAUUUUUGUUUUGUAUCUAUUAUAUUAUUUUAUUCUUAUUUAUUGUUGUUUAUACACCUUGUGGGUGGGGGCACUGGUUCAAAAAAUGGGAGAAGUCCAGUAUUUUGUAGUUGAAUUUCUCAUUGUACAGUAUAUAAUAACAUAUCACUGUGUUGCCAAAAAUGUUCAAGACUGUUAAUGUUUCCCUUGAAUAAAGUGCAUUCAAAAUUACUUUCUGCAGAUUUCUGCUACUUUCUUAAGCCAACACAAGUGCUAUCUCUUGCUAAAAAAUAUAUGUUUACACCUGUGCAGUUCCUUCAAUAAUAAUAAUAAUAAUAAACCUCUACUUUAGUAAAGAAAACAAUUAUGACA